GCGAGACAUGUUGUCCGCCGAGCGACAGCGACCGAUAAACUGACCCAGGACCGUGCCGGGCGCAGCUCCCGGCCGUCCGCCAAAUGAUCAGCCAGCAGCCGCUGCAACCCCAGGGAG
rnacentral:sRNA from 1 species